UAAGUAAGUGGUGGAAAUUAAACCAAAUGGGAUAUCUUUAGUAAUUGCGAAUGAACAAGGAUAUGCUUAGCUUGACAAAUGGAGCUAUUGGCUUUGAAUUGUAUUGUGGAAAUGUAUUACCAACAGAGGUGCAGGUGCCAGCCUAUUGAAAUAAAGCGUCAAUGAGGGUGAGAAUCCUGUUUGUCAUGUGCAGCCCUUUGUGCACGGUGUAUAUUUGCUGAGUCACACUCCUUGUCAUUGGAAUGCAAAGUGGGUGGUAAGUUUCAUGUAAAGGUAAACAUGCAAUUGAGACUGAUAGCACACAAGUACCAUGAGGGAAAUAUGAAAAGGACUUUGAAAAGAGAAUUAAAUGAGUUUGUAUUUGCUGAACACAAAGUAAACAGACUUGAUUUGCUUGGUGGGAGUGUUGCACUUGCUUGACAAGAGCUUUGGGCUGUGGGUGUAAUGAUUCUUUCUUUGCAUGCCAGUUUCUAUUUGUACAUCUGAUUACCUUUGCACAUGAAUGAUAAGUCUCCUGUGGGGGGUGGAUUGCAUGUGCAUGUAAUGAUUUGUGUUUUGAUAAAUGUGUCUGGUGUAUGUGUGUGUUCCUGUGCUUGGGGAUGCUUCCUUCCUUGGACUUACAAGCCCUGACACACACAUGCUGGCAAAAUGCUUCUGCUUGACCCG
rnacentral:rRNA from 1 species